GACCCUGUUUUUUCUUUGUUCGCAUGUCUUUCUGUCUCUGUCUCUGGUUGUGGCUUUUAAUUGAUGGGUCUGUCUAUGUCUGUGUCUCUGGAUGUUUUAUUUGCUUCUCAUUUUCUCUCUCUCUGUCUGGGUCUCUCUUUGUCUUUGUCUGUCUCUGUUUUUCUCUCAUUUUCUCUCCCUGUGUGUCUCUGUCUCUUUGGAUGUUUUAUUUGCUUCUCAUUUUCUCUGUCUGUCUGUCUGUCUCUGUCUCUCUCUGGAUUUCUGUAGCUUUUCGUGAUGGUUGUUUUUUUCUGUUUUUAUUUUCUCUGUGUCUGUCUCUGUUUGUGUCUCUUUGUCUUUCUUUGUCUGUCUCUGUCUCUCUCUGGAUUUCUGUAGCUUUUAGUGCUAAUGGUUGUUUUAUCUACUUCUCAUUUUCUCUGUGUCUGUCUAUGUCUUUGUCUGUCUCUGUUUGUGUCUCUGUGUCUGUCUUUGUCUGUCUCUGUCUCUCUCUGGAUUUCUGUAGCUUUUAGUGCUAAUGGUUGUUUUAUCUACUUCUCAUUUUCUCUGUGUCUGUCUCUUUGGUAGUAUUGCUUUCCUUCUCUUUCUCUACUUAUCCCUGUUUCAUUUUCCUCCGUUCUCAUUUUUUGUUCUCUUUCUGUUCUUAUGUCUUAUUUUUUCACCGUUUUCCUUUCAUUCUUUUCCUUUUUCAUUUCUCUCUUCCUCUCCUUGUCUUAGUUUUCCCUUUUCAUUUCUUCUUCUUCCUUUUGCUGUCUCAUUUUCUCUGUGUGUCUGGCUCUCUGGAUUUCUGUAGCUUUUAUUUAUUUAUUUAUUUUUACAACAAAGGAGACGGCUCAAGGGCAACAAAAAGUGCAUAGAAAAAAAAGGCCCGCUACUCACCGCUGCCAUAAUAGACGAAAGUAAAGAGUGGCCAAGAGAGAGGUCAAUUUGUGGUGGAGAGGUGUCUUGAUUUUGGGAAAAGAUGUCUACAUAGUUUGUCUAUUUUUGAUCUGUUGUCUGUCUGGAAAGCUGGAUUUUCUUAUAGCCUUCUCAAACUAAUGCUUCCUCUACAUAGUUUGUCUAUUUUUGAUCUGUUGUCUGUCUGGAAAGCUGGAUUUUCUUAUAGCCUUCUCAAACUAAUGCUUCCUCUACAUAGUUUGUCUAUUUUUGAUCUGUUGUCUGUCUGGAAAGCUGGAUUUUCUUAUAGCCUUCUCAAACUAAUGCUUCCUCUACAUAGUUUGUCUAUUUUUGAUCUGUUGUCUGUCUGGAAAGCUGGAUUACCUCACGUCAUUAGAAUGCAAUUGAUACCUUUUCUUGGCCUUUGGAAAGAGUUGAUGUGAGGGGAAGUGUUGAUGAUGCCCGCCUACAGUCCUUGCUGAGCAGUUUCUGUGUCUUUCAGAGCGUGUGAAGCAGUUUGCCAACCUGGUCCUGGCCCUCAUGAUGCUGUUCGCCAGGUACAAUCACUGGAUGGUGGGCGACAAGUUUGAGAGACUCGCCCCCUCACUGGUGUUCUUCAUGCUAACCUGCCGGCUCAUCGCUGAGUACCAAAUCCACCGGAAGGAGAAGAUGGACAAGGCGGCGGCAGCGGCAGUGGCCAAGAAGUCACCCGCCGCAGCCGCCGAAGGGAAGGACAGAGGAACAGCCGCCAACUCCAUCGCUGGCGGCUCCACGUCUACUCUCGUCUCCUCCUCCUCAGUUGCCUCCGCCCUCUCCUCCUCGCCUUCCUCCUCCUCCUCAGUUGCCUCCGCCUCCUCCUCCUCCUCUCAACAUGGACGGUCGAAGAAGGAUGUUUAGUGUGGAGGUGUUUGAUUGGGGUUUUGUUCCCAGCUGUCCCAUGAAGGUCUCAGGCAGCAGCCAUCCCUCAUGAUGAUGCAGCUCCCCUCAGCCUACCGGGCGGCCGCUGGUGCUGGGAACACACCCACGCCUCCCCCAACCCAGCUGCAAGGGGAACUUGCUGAGAGUGCAACGAUGGCAGCCUAUAGACACCUUCACAGAGCGACUCACUGGGAGAGAGGAGAGAGUGUGCCAGGAGGCAGACCUGUAUAUUGAAGACCCGUGGGGAUCCCUUUGUACUCCGGAGAGGCGUUCAUGCAUCACAGCCCCAGAAAUGAACACAGCUUUUAUUGUAGAAUAUAAUUAAAAUCUUAUGUUGUAUAGAAUUCAGGAAAUCAAAAUAACUAAGAUAUUACUUAUAUAUUUUUUCAUUAAAAUUUACACAGCCUUUUCA